rnacentral:rRNA from 1 species
GACGAACGCUGGCGGCGUGCUUAACACAUGCAAGUCGAACGGAAAGGCGCCUUUGGGGGUACUCGAGUGGCGGACGGGUGCGUAACACGUGAGUAACCUGCCCUUGACUUCGGGAUAACUUCAGGAAACUGGGGCUAAUACCGGAUAGGAAUCCUUGCUGCAUGGUGGGGGUUGGAAAGCUUCGGCGGUUUUGGAUGGACUCGCGGCUUAUCAGCUUGUUGGUGGGGUAGUGGCUUACCAAGGCUUUGACGGGUAGCCGGCCUGGGGGGGCGACCGGCCACCUUGGGACUGAGGGACGGCCCAGACUCCUACGGGAGGCAGAAGGGGGGAAUCCUGACCAAGGGGCGGAAGCCGGAUGAAGCAAGGCCGCGGGCCGGAUGACGGCCUUCGGGUUGUAAAACGAUUUCAGCAGGGGCGAAGCUUGUGGUGACGGUACCUGCAGAAGAAGCACCGGCUAACUACGUG